ACGCUGGCCGUGCUGGCAGUGGGCCGCCUCGAUCCCUCUGCAGUCUUUCCCUUGAGGCUCCAAGACCAGCAGGUGAGGCCUCGCGGCGCUGAAACCGUGAGGCCCGGACCACAGCUCCAGAUGGACCCUGGGAAGGACAAAGAGGGGGUGCCCCAGCCCUCAGGGCCGCCAGCAAGGAAGAAAUUUGUGAUACCCCUCGACGAGGAUGAGGUCCCUCCUGGAGUGGUAGGACAAGGAG
rnacentral:lncRNA from 1 species